rnacentral:rRNA from 1 species
UACGAGGGGUGCAAGCGUUGCUCGGAAUUAUUGGGCGUAAAGGGUAGGUAGGUGGUCUCGUUUGUCUGGGGUGAAAGCCUUGAGCUUAACUCAAGAAGUGCCCCGGAAACGGCGAGACUGGAGUCCUGGAGAGGGUCGUGGAAUUCCCGGUGUAGCGGUGAAAUGCGUAGAGAUCGGGAGGAACACCCGUGGCGAAGGCGGUUCUCUGGGACGGUACUGACGCUGAGACGCGAAAGCGUGGGGAGCGAACAGG